rnacentral:tRNA from 1 species
AGGGGGCUAGUCCAAUAAAAGACCUCUGAUUUCGGCUCAGAAAAUUAUGGUUUGACUCCAUAGCCCUCUU